rnacentral:rRNA from 1 species
AACGAACGCUGGCGGCAUGCCUAACACAUGCGAGUCGAACGAGACCUUCGGGUCUAGUGGCGCACGGGUGCGUAACGCGUGGGAACCUGCCCUUAGGUUCGGAAUAACUCCCCGAAAGGGGUGCUAAUACCGGAUAAUGUCUUCGGACCAAAGAUUUAUCGCCUUUGGAUGGGCCCGCGUUGGAUUAGCUAGUUGGUAGGGUAAAAGCCUACCAAGGCGACGAUCCAUAGCCGGUCUGAGAGGAUGAUCAGCCACACUGGGACUGAGACACGGCCCAGACUCCUACGGGAGGCAGCAGUGGGGAAUAUUGGACAAUGGGCGAAAGCCUGAUCCAGCAAUGCCGCGUGAGUGAUGAAGGCCUUAGGGUUGUAAAGCUCUUUUACCCGGGAUGAUAAUGACAGUACCGGGAGAAUAAGCUCCGGCUAACUCCGUG